rnacentral:rRNA from 1 species
UACGGAGGGUGCAAGCGUUAUCCGGAUUCACUGGGUUUAAAGGGUGUGUAGGCGGGUACUUAAGUCAGUGGUGAAAUCUCCAGGCUCAACCUGGAAACUGCCAUUGAUACUAUUUAUCUUGGAUAUCGUUGAGGUAGGCGGAAUAUGUCAUGUAGCGGUGAAAUGCUUAGAGAUGACAUAGAACACCAAUUGCGAAGGCAGCUCUCUGGGACGGUACUGACGCUGAGACGCGAAAGCGUGGGGAGCGAACAGG